AAAAGAUCCGGUUCGGAAGCUUAGAUAUUUGGCUUGGGCCUCCCGGCAGGGCGGGGCGAGGUGGGCCUGAAUCUUCACGGGGCGGGGCCACGCUCUACUGGGCGGGGCCUCAAGCAAGGGGUGGAGUCGACGGCCGGGUACCUCCUCACGUGCGGGACUGGCGAGCCCGCAGGUUAGCACACAACGCGCGAUGAUGGCGUGCCUUCCUUCUGACCUGAUGGGAUGCCAGGAGGGCCACUCCCAUCCUGGGCAGGACUGGGCGCGCGUGGGUGUGUGGAUGAGCAGGACACGAGGCAUUUCCACGGGGGACCGAAUGGAAGGACAAGCAGAGACCAUACUCCUGGGGAUCACGCGAGGGCAGGCACAAGGUGGGGCGGUGGGUGGGACCCAGCUUUCCUAGAAACCCCUCUGGGGUCCUCUCUCCUCCCCACUUGGGGCAUUAUGAGACCUCAAAAUGUCAAGGAAAAAACGAGGAUUUUCCUUCCA
rnacentral:lncRNA from 1 species